UGGUCACCUCUCCUGAUAUUCUUCUGAUUAUGUGUUAAAGGUUGAUCGAUACUGCAGUAUCUGCUUCAAUAAAAGCCAGUUACGUGUUUCAGAAUAUAAAGUCUGUUAUUUCAUUUCUGCUCUCACUUAUCA